UACAGAGGUCCCAAGCGUUGUUCGGAUUCACUGGGCGUAAAGGGUGCGUAGGUGGUUGCGCAAGUCUGAUGUGAAAUCUCCGGGCUCAACCCGGAAAUGGCAUUGGAAACUGCGUGGCUAUAGGGUUGGAGGGGGGACUGGAAUACUUGGUGUAGCAGUGAAAUGCGUAGAUAUCAAGUGGAACACCAGUGGCGAAGGCGAGUCCCUGGACAACACCUGACACUGAGGCACGAAAGCUAGGGGAGCAAACAGG
rnacentral:rRNA from 1 species